rnacentral:lncRNA from 1 species
GCCUGCUCUCAGUUCACUUUCCUUUCCACUUACUCAUUCGCUUUGCUUAAUCCCUUUUUAAGAAAUUCAUUUACUCAUUCAUUCAUUCGUCCAACGACAUGUUCACACAGUCUCUAUCUGCGACUCAGUGGUGUCCAGUGCUUAUCUGAGCUGGGGUCAGCCAGGGGACAAAGUCCUCGAGCCCCACAGAGGUGACAUUCAAGGUGGAGACAGGUAAGGGGCCAGUAAACCCAUGAGGAUCUCAGAGUGAUAAAUGUUCCAGGGAACACUUUAAAUGUCAGAAAGAUGUGCCCAGAGUUGGGGAGAGGUGGGGUUCCCACAUCACCCGGGCGGCGACAGAGUUAGGCUGGAAAGGGGUCAGUGAGUUCCAGGGGUGACGGGCAGGGGUCAGCACGUGCAAAGGCCCAGCACGCAGACAGCUGGGCCACCUCCAUCCCCACCUCCUGGCACGAGGGGAACAAAGAUGGGGUGUCCACAGCCUGUGCAGUGCAGGAAUUUGGCAGGGAAUUGCAAGGAGAGGUGGGAGGCCCCAACUCAUGAGGCAUCCUGGGCUACUGGUGGGUAGCUUUGCCUUUUUCUAAGUUUAGAGUUGCUGGAAGGCAGUACGCGAGGAAUGGCAUCAUUUGAUUUUCCCAGUGCUAGGGACUGAACCUGGGCCUUCACGCGGAGCUGCAUGGCCAGCCCUCUUCACGUUUCCUCUGAGACAGUGUCCUGCUAAGUUCCCUAGGUUGGGCUUGAACUUGCAAGCCUCUGACUUCAGCCCCACCACACCUGCCCAAUUUAAAUUUUUAAAAGCGUCUUGGUGUGGCAGGAUGCUGGGGGACUGGGACGAGCUGCAGCCGGACCACGGCUGCCCCACUCACUCUCCUGCAGGCGUGGCGUGGGCUCCACGGGUUGUCACGGGCGAGGCCUCUCGGCAGGUGGCUGGCAAAGGCGCAGUGUGGUCCUCGUAGGGUCAGUGGGCUCUGCCUCGGCUUACCCAGCUCAGGCACCACGACCAGGGCCCCGCGGGUGAUGGAGCCCCCUGAACCCCCCGAGGCACCAGGCCGGCCUUUGAGGCUCUCCUCGUAGCAGACACGCUCGAGAGCCCGGGCGUCGGUGACCACAUCGAGCGGGAGCCACAGCAGUGGGCAGCCCCGUUC